UACGUAGGGUGCGAGCGUUGUCCGGAAUUACUGGGCGUAAAGAGCUCGUAGGUGGUUUGUCGCGUCGUCUGUGAAAUUCCGGGGCUUAACUCCGGGCGUGCAGGCGAUACGGGCAUAACUUGAGUACUGUAGGGGAGACUGGAAUUCCUGGUGUAGCGGUGAAAUGCCCAGAUAUCAGGAGGAACACCGGUGGCGAAGGCGAGUCUCUGGGCAGUAACUGACGCUGAGGAGCGAAAGCAUGGGUAGUGAACAGG
rnacentral:rRNA from 1 species